rnacentral:lncRNA from 1 species
UAUUAUUUAUAUUUUCUUCUUUUUAUUCAUCUAAUUAGUUUUUUUUUCUUAUUUUAUUUAUUUAUUUAUUAAUUUUUUAUUCAUCAACACUUGGUUCGACUAUUACCUUUACUAACCCUUUUCAAGCCCUUUCCAAUAACCGAAACAGCAUGUUCCCACUUCAUUGAUACUUCUCUGGCUUAGACUGUACCGGAACCUUUUCAAUACCAGCAGUCGAGCUAUUUUUGGACAUUUUCGGCUACUCGCAAUUGACAUUGCUAGGUCGAUCAUAUGUUACAUUGACAUUGCAUUGUUUAACGAUGAGUCCAUGGAUUUAACCGAACACUAAAUUCACGUGAAUGUACAUUCCCCAUUAAACAAAAAGAGAAUCUGUCUUUGAAAAAAAAGAUGUCCUAACAACAUCAUAUUCAAACCUCAUGAUCAAUUUUGCUCCAAUGUUUUGGUUGAUUUAUACGGAUGAAGAAAACGAGUCAAGAUUUGAUUGAAAUAUCAGUGUUAUGAUGUAGCAUAGAUUUUAUUUAUUGAUUAUUUGUUUAUUAGAUCCAUUGUUACACUGUAUUCUAGAUACUUCAGUGUCUGGUUCAUUCUGAUCGUAAAAAGAAACAACUAGUAUGCCGAUACACCCAUGUACUAGACUUUUUUUAUCGACUGAAAACAUAAAUAUGCCUAGUCAGAUUAAAUCGAGAAACACUUCAUAUUAUGCUCAGUAACUUUUUUUUUAAUAGAAUAAUACACACAAUUAAUGCUGACUUGACAAUCUUAUCUUCUUUCCAUAAAUGUCCAGCACCCAGAAAGGCCUUUGAAUUUUUCGCUUCAUUGAGAGUAUCCUUCUUUUUUCACUAUUUAUCCUUUCUAAAUAUCGUUAAAACACUUUAACAAUACAUAAAACAAGGACAUUCUUAGGGCUUAACAACGAUAUCACAAAAUUUCUUUAAAAUCAAUGUGCUGCUUUUUGCUGUACUUUAAGCAUAGCAUUUACUAUGCAGUUUCAAAGAUACAUGUUUCAAAACUUAUGCAUCCAAACAUGGCUUUUUUCGUGUCAGGAAAAGAUUAUGAGAAAUAUAUAUAUAUAUAUUUUAGUUUUUGAAUAA